rnacentral:rRNA from 1 species
AGGGUUUGAUCCUGGCUCAGAACGUACGCUGGCGGCACGCCUAACACAUGCAAGUCGAACGAAGUAGCAAUACUUAGUGGCAGACGGGUGAGUAACAUGUAGGUAUCUGCCCUUUGGCCUGGAAUAACACGAGGAAACUUGUGCUAAUACCGGAUAAGUCUUUACGGAGAAAGCUUUAUGCACCAUUGGAUGAGCCUGCACUUGAUUAGUUUGUUGGUAGGGUAAUGGCCUACCAAGACUGUGAUCAAUAGCUGAUUUGAGAGGAUGAUCAGCCACAUUGGGACUGAGACACGGCCCAAACUCCUACGGGAGGCAGCAGUGGGGAAUCUUGCACAAUGGAGGAAAUUCUGAUGCAGCGAUGCCGCGUGAGUGAAGAAGGCCCUUGGGUUGUAAAGCUCUUUCGUCGGGGAAGAAAAUGACUGUACCCGAAUAAGAAGGUCCGGCUAACUUCGUGCCAGCAGCCGCGGUAAUACGAAGGGACCUAGCGUAGUUCGGAAUUACUGGGCUUAAAGAGUUCGUAGGUGGUUGAAAAAGUUAGUGGUGAAAUCCCAGAGCUUAACUCUGGAACUGCCAUUAAAACUUYUCAGCUAGAGUAUGAUAGAGGAAAGCAGAAUUUCUAGUGUAGAGGUGAAAUUCGUAGAUAUUAGAAAGAAUACCAAUUGCGAAGGCAGCUUUCUGGAUCAUUACUGACACUGAGGAACGAAAGCAUGGGUAGCGAAGAGGAUUAGAUACCCUCGUAGUCCAUGCCGUAAACGAUGUGUGCUAGACGUUGGAAAUUUAUUUUCAGUGUCGCACGGAAACCGAUAAACACACCGCCUGGGGAGUACGACCGCAAGGUUAAAACUCAAAUGAAUUGACGGGGACCCGCACAAGUAGUGGAGCAUGUGGUUUAAUUCGAAGAUACGCGCAGAACCUUACCAACACUUGACGUGUUCGUCGCGACUCUAAGAGAUUAGAGUUUUCGGUUCGGCCGGACGAAACACAGGUGCUGCAUGGCUGUCGUCAGCUCGUGUCGUGAGAUGUUGGGUUAAGUCCCGCAACGAGCGCAACCCUCACUUUUAGUUGCCAUCAUUAAGUUGGGCACUCUGAAAGAACUGCCAGUGAUAAGCUGGAGGAAGGUGGGGAUGACGUCAAGUCCUCAUGGCCCUUACGAGUUGGGCUACACACGUGCUACAAUGGCAUCUACAACAGGAAGCAAAACGGCAACGUUAAGCAAAUCCCGAAAAGAUGCCUCAGUUCGGAUUGCACUCUGCAACUCGAGUGCAUGAAGCUGGAAUUACUAGUAAUCGUGGAUCAGCGUGCCACGGUGAAUGCGUUCCCGGGUCUUGUACACACCGCCCGUCACACCAUGGGAGUUUGUUCUACCUUAAGGCAAGGCUUUAAACCCUUGACCACGGUAUAGUCAGCGACUGGGGUGAAGUCGUAACAAGGUAACCA